AGAUUGAACGCUGGCGGCAUGCCUUACACAUGCAAGUCGAACGGCAGCACGGGAGCAAUCCUGGUGGCGAGUGGCGAACGGGUGAGUAAUACAUCGGAACGUGCCCAAUCGUGGGGGAUAACGCAGCGAAAGCUGUGCUAAUACCGCAUAAGAUCUACGGAUGAAAGCAGGGGAUCGCAAGACCUUGCGCGAAUGGAGCGGCCGAGUGGCAGAUUAGGUAGUUGGUGAGGUAAAGGCUCACCAAGCCUUCGAUCUGUAGCUGGUCUGAGAGGACGACCAGCCACACUGGGACUGAGACACGGCCCAGACUCCGUACGGGAGGCAGCGAGGUGGGUAAUUUUGGAACUAAGUGGGCGAAACGCCUACGAUCCGAGCCAGUCGCCGCGUGACGACGGAUAGGAACGGUCCGUUU
rnacentral:rRNA from 1 species